AGUUAAACAGUACGUGAAAUUGUUGAAAGGGAAACGAUUGAAGCCAGUCGUACCUUCGGGUAAUCAGCCUUUCGGGUGCGAUUCUGUGGGGUUUGAGGAGCUUAACACCUUCAUGCUUUGCAUAUCCGUGCUCUUGGGUGUACUUGCCCGUGUGGUUGGUUAACAUCAAUUUUGGUGGUCAUAAAAUGACUGGAGGAAUGUAGCUUCGAUCUUGUAUUGAAGUGUUAUAGCCUUCGGUAGAUGUGAUGAUCGAGAUUGAGGAUUGCAACGGAUACCCUUCGGGGCUACCUGUCUGGUCUCUGAUCGUUGCUCUGGUGCCGAAAGCUUGCUUACGGUUAUCAAAGUCGAUGGUCAAUAGGUUAGAACGGGUUAAAUUCGUUAAGGAUGUUGACGUAAUGGCUUUAAA
rnacentral:misc_RNA from 1 species